GGCGAGCACGAGACCGGGCCCACGUCCCAGCCUCUCUCGCUUAUGGAACACACGUAAGCACACGCACGCCGGCGGCCCGCGCGUCGGCGACGAUCUAGCCGAAGUGGUGGUGCUUCUUCUCGCCGCUGGCCUCCUUGGCCUCCUUGUGGUCCUGCUUCUUCUCGUGGUGCUCGUGGAAGACGAAGCCGCCGGCACCGACGGCCGCGGCGGCGGCCAGCUCCUCCUCGAUCUUGUGCUUGUGCGCGUGUUCCGGGUCCUUCUUCGCCUCGUGCUUCUCGUACUGCACGUGGACAAGCAGUUCAUUAGCCAAGCCCGGAAAGACAUGAACUACGUAUAUAUCUAUAUACGCGUAUGGGUAAAUAGUUACGAUGAGAGAGAGAGAGCGUACGAGGGCGAAGGCUCCGGCGGCGACGGCGCCCAUCUCGCCGAGGUGCUCCUUGUGCUUGUGGUGCUUCUCCUCCUUGGUGAUCCGCUCGUACUCGCCCUCGUUGCCGGUGCCGGUCACCACCGUCUCGGUCGAGUACCCGUACACGUCGGCGCCGCCAUCAGCGGCGGGCUGGAAGUCCUCGCCCUCCUUCUUGUGGUGGAACAGGUGGUGGUGGUGCUUCUCCUCCGCCAUGGCCGCCGGCUGAUCGAUUAACUAGCUUGUAUGUGUGCGUGUAUGUGACAGUGGGACAGCUUCUUAUCUGCUUGGUCUGUGUAGGCUUCCUACUGGCCGGGUUUUAUAGGCUGAGGCGACUGUUGGAAUGGACGGUGGAACUAACCGUUCCGUUCCACGGGUUAUGGAUACUGGAUCCAUCAAAUAUACAGUACGUAUGCAUACGAUUGUGAUCUGCUUUAUGUACGUGUCCCGGAGUCAUUGGAGGCUUGGAGCCCAAGCACUCAGGCAACCACAGGACAGGGGGCCACGUUCUGAUGGCCAACGGUGCAGCGCCCCACCACCUUCUUGGCACUUGGCAGAGUUGCAGCUUGGGGUAGCUUACAUGUGAGUAACAAAAGUUUAGAGAAGUGUCGGCAUGCACGGAUUGGCUGACGGUGAUGUGGCACCGCGCACGCCUUUCCCUGCUCCCCGCGUCCACUAUCCAGCAACCUUUACUCGUAUGUAAUUACGUGUGCGCAUUAUUACUUUUUCUUUUUUGAGAAGUACUCCGUAGUACUAUUUGUGAAAAGUAAAAACGAGAGAGAGGAUAAAAAUGAUGGAACCGUUGCUUUCAUUGAUGGAUUGGGAGUAUAUAUACCCCUGAUACAAGGCAGUUACAAAGAGGCAGUUGCUACUAGUAGCAACCGACAUAGCGGGGAUUAACCCUUUAAUUAAUCUAAUUAAUUUAUUUCUAACACUCCCCCUAAUCACUGCUUGUCUUGGAUAUUUAUUAUCUUGAUAAAGACUCCUCUUUGUAUGUGUCUUUAAGAAUGUCCAUCAUCUUCGUGAAAGCCUUUGUAUAAUCUUGAAAGUCUUCCCAAAAAACCCUGUGGGAAAAAAUAUGAGGAGAAUAGUGUAGGUAUGUUGCUAAAACUCCUUUAAACCCGGUGGGAAAAUAAUAAGGAGAAAAUAAUGCAACAUAUAAUGAUUAUUGUCUCUUGAUAACUCAAUCGAGAAAACCUUUGAAGAAGGAGAAAAAUCAAUUGUGAGUUUAGAGAACAAUUAAUAUGUCUUUAAUACUUUCUUUAAAAAAACCCAAUAGGGAAAAUAGAAAGUAUGGCAUAUGAUUUUGAUAAUAUAUUGCCUCAUUAAAAACCUUUUUAUGAGAAAACUGAUGCAAAACUCAUAAAGGAAAAGAGUACAAUUAUUAUCUGAUGAUAAUUAAUGGGUUAUGAGUCUAGGAAUUUCUCCCCCUGAAAUUUGCAAAUCUCGAAAACGUCUCAUACCAAUUCCAUGAAUAUAUUUCUGGAAUGUUGAAUUUGGUAAAGACUUUGUGAACAAAUCUGCUAGAUUGUCGCAUGAUUUGGUUUGCAAAAUAUCAAUUUCUCCAUCCUUUUGUAAUGCAUGAGGAUAGAAUAACUUAGGAGAAAUGUGUUUUGUGAUAUUACUUUUCACAUAACCCAUUUGCAUUUGAGCAAUGCAGGCUGCAUUAUCUUCAUAUAUAAUAGUUGGUGAUCCUAAUGAACCAACACCACAUGAAGUUUGAAUAUGGUUAAUCAUCCUGCGAAGCCAUACACAUUCUUUAGAUGCUUCAAAUAAUGCAAUAAUUUCAGAAUGAUUAGUGGAUGUUGCUACGAGAGUCUGUUUUGUUGACUUCCAUGAAAAAACAGUUCCACCAUAUAAGAAUACGAAACCUGUUUGUGACCUGGCAUUGUGAGGAUCAGAUAGAUAGCCAGCAUCAGUAUAUCCUACCAUAGUCAUAUCUUGGUUUUUCUGAUAGAAUAAGCCAAGAUCUUUUGUGCCAUGUAAAUAUCUAAGGAUAUUCUUUACUCCCGUCCAAUGACGUUUUGUUGGAGCAGCGCUAUGUCUAGCUAGUAAAUUUACCGCAAAUGCAAUAUCAGGCCUGGUGCAAUUUGCAAGGUACAUUAGCGCACCAAUGGCACUGAGAUACGGGAACUCAGGUCCUAAUAUCUCUUCGUCAUCAUCCCGAGGUCUAAAAGGAUCUUUAUUCAUAUCAAGGGAUCUGACAACCAUGGGUGUUUUGGUUGGAUAUGAUUUAUCCAUAUUAAAUUUUUCCAAAACCUUUUGAAUAUAUGCAGGUUGGUAUACUAAAAUUCCUGAGGGAAGAUGCUCAAGCUGUAAGCCUAAGCAGAAUUUGGUCUUUCCCAAAUCUUUCAUCUCAAAUUCCGCCAUUAGAUGAUUGCGUGCUUCUUCGAUAUCAGGUCUACAUCCAAUGAUAUUGAGGUCAUCAACGUACACUGAGAUGAUGCAAAAUCCAUUUGGGGAUUUCUUUAUAAAUACACAAGGGCAAUCAUCAUUAUUUGAGUAGCCUUUUUGAAUAAGGAACUCACUCAGCCGGUUAUACCACAUUCUACCCGACUGUUUUAAGCCAUAUAGUGACUUUUGUAAUUUUACACAAUAUGCGUUGCGAUUUGCUUUUGGAUUCGGCAUUUUAAGUCCUUCAGGGACUUUCAUAUAUAUAUCCGAUUUGAGUGACCCAUAUAAGUAUGUUGUCACUACAUCCAUCAACUGCAUAGAUAAAUUCAUUUGUACUGCCAAAGAUAUUAAGUAUCGAAACGUUAUUCCACUCAUUACAGGAGAGUAUGUAUCAUCGUAAUCGAUGCCGGGUCUCUGCGUGAACCCUUGUUCUACAAGCCUCGCUUUGUAUCUCACCACCUCAUUGUUUUCAUUCCUUUUUCGAACAAAAACCCAUUUUGCUCCAACAGGGAAGACAUUGUGAGGAGUAGGUAUUACUGAGGAAAAUACCUCUCUUUUGUUGAGCGAGCGCAGUUCUGCCUCAAUUGCUUCCUUCCAUUUAGGCCAAUCAGGACGCUUGAGGCACUCCCUGACGGUCUUUGGUUCUGGAUCCAGUUGAAGGGUUUCAGCAAUUUCAGAGGCGAAAUAUAUGUCGACAAUUGUAGUCUCUCUAUUAUAUGAUUCUCCUAAUUCUGUAUAGUUUAUGGAAAUUUCUUUUAUACCUUCAGACUCUAUGUGAUUUCCCACAACAAUAGAAUCAUGGUGUUCCGAUGUCCCAGCAAUUAUGUUUUUAUGCGCAUUUAUGCUUGGUUCAAGAUGUUGAGCAUCUGGUUGGUGUCCUUCAACUUGAGGUUGAAUUGCAUUUACUGGUAGAGGAUUUGAUUUCCUCUGUUUCCGCGGAGGCUUUUGAGAAGCUAUAUUCCGACUAACCAGAUUUCUCCCCCUCUUACUCUCAUUUGGGGUUUGAGUGGUUUUAGUUGGUACCUCCACUCGUUCUGGUGCAUUAACAGCGGGAAUAUGUGAUUUAGUGACACCUUUAUGGUGAGUAAAUGCAUCUGGCAGAUUAUUUGCAAUGUGUUGCAAAUCUAUGAUCCUGUGAACUUCAGUUUCAGAUUCUUUAGUACGUGGAUCUAAGGACUGAAUGCCUGUUACAUUCCAAUCUAUUUCCUGGCAUUCUUUGUGGUUUGAUUCUCCCCCUAAUGCCGGGGAAUGGUCCUCAUCAAAAAUAGAAUCAGCGUAACGGGCAGUAAACAGGUCCCCUGUAAGAGGUUCAAGAUAUUUAAUAAUUGACGGAGAAUUAUAACCCACAUAGAUCCCUAGUUUUCUGUGGGGGCCCAUGGAUGUACGCUGCGGUGGUGAUAUCGGUACGUAUACUGCGCAACCGAAUUUUCGCAGAUGGGAAAUACUUGGCUGAGUGCCACGUACUAGUUGUAGCGGGGAGGUUGUAUGAUAUGCAGUUGGUCUGAUUUGUAUCAGAUCUGCGGCGUGUAAUACCGCAUGUGCCCAACAAGAUGCUGGUAAAUUACAAUUCUGUAAUAGUGGUCGAGCAACUAAUUUUACUCUUUUGAUGAGAGAUUCAGCCAAACCAUUUUGAGAUUCUGCGGCGGUUCUGGCGGUGGUUCCCGGCGAAGAAGCGGCGAUGAGGGCCACUCCGGUUCUGGCGGUGGUUCCUGGUGAAGGAACGGCGGCGAGGGCCAUUCCUUGCACCAAGGCCCUCACGGCGACGUGCAAUGCGGUGGCGCUGCGUGCGAGUGAAGCGGCUGUCUUCUUUCUGCAGGAAACGUGCGAAAGCAAAAGCAAGCGAGGACAAAUCUCUCCCUGCCAUUCUCACCUUUCUCUUGGCUCUCUGUCGCUCUCGGCAGAGCAAGUGCUGAUAACGUGUGAAAAGUAAAAACGAGAGAGAGGAUAAAAAUGAUGGAACCGUUGCUUUCAUUGAUGGAUUGGGAGUAUAUAUACCCCUGGUACAAGGCAGUUACAAAGAGGCAGUUGCUACUAGUAGCAACCGACAUAGCGGGGAUUAACCCUUUAAUUAAUCUAAUUAAUUUAUUUCUAACACUAUUAUUGGAAAACAUGCAUACACAUGCAGAUGUUUGGAUUUUUUCACUGUUUUGACCUUACAUGUAAACAUGAGCACAAAAUGAACUCAGUCUGAAAAUAUUUUUGGAUCUGACCUUUCUUUAAAACGCCAGAGUCCGUCGCGUUGCUGCUCCACGUAGAAACGCCAGACUAACGUGGCGUUUUUGAUCUACAUUCAAACGUCAGUCUACUGGACGUUGCAGCAUAUAUAGAAACGCCAAGUUCAGUCUGUUGUAAGUUGAAUCGAGAGAAACAAAUGAAUCAAUUGUCACUUUAUUCCUUGAUGAUUGAACACUUUAUAUGCCAGGGAAAGACGGUUCCCGGAGGCGACGCUCCAGGAACAAUACGCCGGUUCCGCAUCGUGGGGGGAAUUCACGUGCGGUUACAAGUAGAGAUUAAUUUAACUAAUUACAUAAUUAAUUAAAUUCUAACACUCCCCCUAAUCUAUACUUGUCCAUGAGCGUGUCCAUCAUCUUGAAAUAGUCUCCUCCAAAAACCCUGUGGGAAAAAUAUAAGGAGUGGUGUAGUAUAUGCGGCUAAAACUCCUUCAAACCCUGUGGGGAAAUAAGGAGAAAAUGAUAUAGCAUAUAAUGCGUAUUGCCUCUGUUAACUCUAUAUGAAAUGUAUCCAUAGAAUAAGAGGACAAUAAAUAUGUCGUAUAUACUUUCCUAAAAACCCCGGUGGGGAAAACAGAUAGUAUGACAUAUGAUCUUAUGUUGAUAUUACCUCAUUAAAAACCUCGAUGAGAACCUAUAAAGUAAACUCAUAAAGGGAAAAGAGUGUAAUAUGAUGCUUUGAACAGGAAGAGUUCAGGAAGAGACUCCCCCUGACUCUUGCAAAUCUCGGAGCCGUCGCAUACCAAUUCCAUGAAUGUAUUUCUGGAAUGUUGAAGCUGGUAGAGACUUCGUGAAAAGAUCAGCUAGAUUAUCGCAUGACUUGACUUGCAAGAUGUUGAUUUCACCACUUUUCUGGAGUUCAUGGGGAUAAAACAACUUAGGGGCAAUAUGCUUAGUGAUAUUGCUCUUUAUGUAUCCUGUUUGCAUCUGUGCAACACAAGCCGCAUUAUCUUCAUAGAUAAUGGUAGGUGAUUUGAUAGAACCAAUUCCACGUGACUGUUGUAUGUGGUUUAUCAUUCUGCGAAGCCACGUGCAUUCACGUGAUGCCUCAUAUAAAGCAAUUAUUUCAGAAUGAUUGGUAGAUGUUGCAACUAGGGUCUGUUUUGAAGACUUCCAUGAUAUAGCAGUUCCACCAUGUAGGAACACAAAGCCGGUCUGCGAUCUGGCAUUAUGGGGAUCAGAUAAAUAGCCAGCAUCUGUAUAUCCAAUUAUACCAGAGUCUAGUUUUUUCUGGAACUGAAUAGGCCAAGAUCCUUUGUGCCUUGGAGAUAUCGAAAGACAUUCUUGACUCCCGACCAAUGGCGUUUGGUGGGAGCUGCGCUGUGUCUAGCAAGUAGAUUUACUGCAAAUGCGAGGUCAGGUCUCGUGCAAUUUGCUAGAUACAUAAGCGCUCCAAUUGCACUGAGAUAUGGAACCUCGGGUCCAAAAAUCUCUUCACCAUCAUCCCUUGGCCUGAACGGAUCUUUCUCUACGUCUAGAGAUCGAACCACCAUGGGAGGUUUAGAUGGGUAGGAUUUGUCCAUAUUGAAUUUCUCCAAUAUUUUCUGGAUAUAGGCAGCUUGGUGUACCAUUAUUCCUGAGGUAAGGUGCUCGAGUUGGAGACCCAAGCAAAAUUUGGUUUGGCCCAAAUCCUUCAUCUCAAAUUCCAUCUUUAGGUGAUUGCGUGCUUCAUCAAUAUCUGGUGUACAGCCGAUGAUGUUGAGAUCAUCAACAUACACAGAAAUGAUGCAAAAUCUUGUAGACGACUUCUUGAUGAAGACACAUGGGCAAUCAUCACUAUUGGAGUAACCUUUCUGAAGAAGGAACUCACUUAGUCGGUUGUACCACAUCCGCCCCGACUGUUUUAAGCCAUACAAUGACUUAUUCAGCUUUACACAAUACAUGUUGCGUUUUGCAUUGUUACUCGGGACAGAGAUUCCGUCAGGAACCUUCAUAUAUAUGUCCGAAUCUAGUGACCCGAAAAGAUAUGCGGUCACGACGUCCAUCAACUGCAUGGAUAGACGAUUUUGUACUGCCAUAGAUAUAAGAUAUCGGAAAGUUGUUCCACUCAUUACUGGAGAGUAUGUCUCAUUGAAAUCAAUGCCGGGUUUCUGCGUAAAACCUUGUGCUACGAGCCUUGCUUUAUAUCUCACCACCUCAUUGUCCUCAUUCCGUUUCCGGAGGAAAACCCAUUUGAAUCCCACAGGGAAAACAUUGGGAGGUGUAGGUAUUGCUUCAGUGAAUACCUUCCUUUUGUUAAGCGAGGCAAUUUCUGCUUGGAUUGCAUCCUUCCAUUUAGGCCAGUCGGAGCGCCUUUGGCAUUCGACGAUAGACCUUGGAUCAUGAUCAGUGAUAAGGAUAUCUACAAUCUUUUCAGCAAAAUAUAUGUCGACAGUCGUAGUCUUGCGGUCAAAUGAUUCUCCAGAAUCAACAUAGUUGAUGGAAAUUUCUUGCACCCCUAGAGACUGUUCGUUAUUUCCCAAUACGAUUGAGUCUAGGUGUUCCGAUGUUCCAGCUAGUUUGUGCAUACUGGAGCUGGGUUGUGAAGGUCUCCCUUCCACUGGGUGUAAACUACCCAUAAGGUGUUCAUCAACGUUGAGUUGACUUGCAUUUACUGAUUUUGAGGAUCUUCUCCUCUCUCUCCUUUGCUGCUUGCGAGAAGCAGGUUCCGGGUCAGAGGUCGUACUACUCCCCCUCUUUUUAGGAACAGGGAGUUGAGUGGUUUUAGUUGGUACCUCCACUCUUUCGGGCGCAUUUCUGGCUGGAAUCAAGGAUUUUGUAACACCUUUUAGAUCAGUAAAUGAAUCUGGCAGAUUAUUUGCAAGAUGUUGCAAAUUGAUAAUUUUCCGAACUUGUAGUUCGGUCUCUUGAGUACGUGGAUCAGAGGCUGAAAUGGCAAUGGCAUUCCAAUCAAUUUCCGAGCAUUCUUUCUGGUACUUGAAAUCUCCCCCUAAUGCCGGAAAAUGUUCCUCAUCAAAAAUGCAAUCAGCGUGACGGGCUGUGAAUAGAUCCCCAGUAAGGGGUUCCAGGUACUUGAUAAUCGACGGCGAUCUGUACCCCACAUAGAUCCCAAGUUUCCUGUCUGGGCCCAUGGAUGUCCGCUGUGGUGGUGAGAUUGGGAUGUACGUAGCACAUCCGAACUUACGCAGAUGGGAAAUGCUGGGAGGAUUUCCACGUACCAAUUGCAGAGGGGAAGUACUGUGAUAUGCAGUAGGUCGCAAUUGGAUUAAGUCAGUAGCGUGUAAAAUUGCAUGACCCCAACACGAAGUUGGUAAGCUGCAAUUCAUUAACAAAGGUCUUGCAAUGAGUUUGAUCCUUUUAAUUAGAGAUUCGGCCAAACCAUUUUGAGUAUGAACGUAUGGGACAGAGUGCUGAACUUCAAUCCCCAAGGCCAUGCAAUAGUCAUUGAAAGCACGUGAACAAAAUUCUGCAGCAUUGUCCAUGCGAAUUGAUUUAAUUCAACUUUCUGGAUAAUGGGCCUGUAACUUAAUUACUUCCCGCAUUAUCUUGGCAAAUGCAUGGUUUCGUGUGGAUAGAAGGCACACGUGUGACCAUCGUGUAGAUGCAUCAAUCAGAACCAUGAAAUACCGAAAUGGUCCAGAUAAUGGUUGGAUAGGACCACAAAUGUCACCUUGAAUGCGUUCAAGGAAGUGAAGUGGUUCAGCUUGUAUUUUAAGGUGUGAUGGCCUUAAAAUUAGUUUCCCUGUGGCGCAGGAUGUGCACACAAAGUCUGAUGACUGAGGAAACUUUGACUCGAGCAAAUUAUGACCAAUAGAAUUGCUAGUAAUUUUCCUCAUCAUCCCAACACUGGGGUGGCCAAGGCGAUCAUGCCAAGUUUGGAAUGCAUUAACAUUCUGAAAAAUUACCUUGUAAGCAACAUGUUCUACGGGCUUGAUGUACGUAUAGUACAGUCCGGACGAUAGUGAAGGAAUUUUUUCAAGUACUUGCUUGCCAUAUCCGUAAUCUUUUGUGAAGAGUAGAAACUCUUCUGUGUUGUCCUCAUGGGUUUCAAUGUGAAAACCAUUUUUACGGAUAUCUCAAAAACUGAUUAGGGUACGGGAUGAAUCAGGAUACAGCAAGGCAUCCUCAAUUGUCACUUGUGUACCACCUCGGAGGGUAAAUAUGGCACGUCCAGUGCCAACAAUUACCGUAUCGCGUCCAACGAUUGUCAAAAUAUCUCCAUUCAUCUUUUUCAGAGUCUGAAAAUAUUUCAACUCCCUUGGUAUGGAGUUUGUGGUAGCACUGUCCACAAGGCAUAAUUCCUCUUCCAUCGGAUUGUCCCCAUAGAAAGCUAUAUAUAAAAAUGAGGAAUUUUCAAUAAGAAAGCCUUAUUUCAAUACAUAGAAUACAAUCUUAUUAUAUCAAAGUGCUGAUACAAUAUAUAAAUGACAACAAUACUUAUGUUCUAUUACAAUCAUCACACAUGGAUAUGAUUUAUUUAAUAAAUCGACCACUAAGGAGAUAAUGGGACUAAUCGAAGUCUCCAAACAUGUCGGUUGAGGUGUACUCAACCAUCAUGUUCUCCGUGUCUGUAGGAUCCUCUAAUGUAUGGAGUGUCAUGGUGUUGCUAGAUCCGGGAGGAACAUCUUGCGAACAACCAGCUCCAUUGGUGCCAUCUGGAUGAAGGUUGAAGUUGGCUUGAAACCUUUUCCCUUGAGGUACUUUGCGUCCCUGAGAUUGCUGAUACAGAAUUGCCAGAUGCUUCGGGGUCUUGCACUUAUUGGUAGGAUGCGUGUAGCAUCCACACUUGUCACAAAGCUUAGUUUGGUCAAACUUGGGCUUUGCGGUGCCUUUCCCAUGGUCCGAGUUUCUAGGCUUUCUGUUCCGGUUGCGCUUGCAUUUACCCUUGAAGUUCGAUGGCUUGCCAUGGGACGCACCAUCAAACUUUCGUCUGUUCACGACGUUCAUAUGAACUUCAGGCAGAGGUUGGGAACCAACCGGACGCUGAGAACCAUUCUUAGCGAGUAGCUCAUCAUGCUUUUCAGCCUGAAGUAGGAUAUGAAUGAGGUCGGAAUAGACUUGGUAGUCAUGAGCGCGGUACUGUUGCUGGAGGACCCUUUCAUAUGGGAGCAUAGUAGACAUAGUUUUUUCUAUCUUUUCCGCAUCAGUAGGUUCCUUCCCGCAAAAGCGUAAUUUGGAACAUAUCUUAUGAACCUCGUGAUUGUACGCCCCGAUGGACUUGAAAUCCUGGAGUCGGAUAUGCGUCCAAUCAUGGAGUGCUUCCGGCAGGACAACUGCCUUUUGCUGUUCAUACCUCGUCUUGAGGGCCUGAAACAGAGUAAGUGGGGAUUCCUCCUCCAAAUAUUCAGAUUUGAGAUCUGGGUGGAUAUGGUGCCUUAUGAUGUAUAAGGCGGCAUAUUUCUGUUCAUCUCUCAGCGGCGUGACUCCAUCCGGAAGAGGAUCUUCCGGAGUCUGGAUUGCACACACUAAUCCACGAGAUGCAAGAGCGAUCUUGAUGUCCAUGGCCCAGGUAGGAUAGUUGUGGCCAUUGAGGUCGGGUGCAUCGAACUCUCUUCCAGCCAUUGGUUACCUACAUGGGUAAACCAGAGAUUAUUAAUUUACACCAGGUAAAUUAAAACCUUCAUGGUUACGUUGUAUUGAACGUUGCAAAAUUAAUGAUAACUUCAAGAAAUGGGCUUGAAAUCAUUAGUGUGACUUUCAAAUUGUGAAGUUUGACACAUUGUAGAUACGCCCCAAACGAAAAUUCGGGGUCCAUCUCUCAGAACUAGGGAGUAUAAUCUGAUAAAAUCAGUAGAUACUCAUGUUUCUAGUACCUUAUGUCAUAACUUAAUAAAAUGUAUCGGAGGGCACAAUAUUAAGCAAUCAUCAUAUCAAUAUGAUAGAAUGUAGGCUUAAUCGUAGUGGCGAUAAUCUGCUAUGCAUUAGAUCAACACACUUCUUUGUGGUCCCAAAACAUCAAUUUGAAAGAAAAUCACUUUGGAAUUUUGCAUAUCAACUCGUGCUCGUAUUAAGCCAAAGGCUCAAUUAAGACGAGGGGUUGAUUUUUAUUUGCAAGAAAUUUGAAAUCUCAAUUACAAAUAAUAGAGGUAAUAAAUCUCAACAUGUAGCAAACAUGGAAAUAUAUAUUACAUCACAUAUGUUCUAGAAUACAAAGUACUCUACAGAAAACAAAACAGUACUAGAAAUAGACGUACUGAAAACAGGAAUUAAACAGGAUCUAAGACAGGGAUUAGUCUACUGCUAGAUCUACUGUUGAUAGUACAGGAAGUAAUCUAAAACAGAGAGCAAAUAGUGCUGGAAAAUACUACUAAAGUGUGCUGGAGUGCUGCAAGACCACAUGUGCCAUCGAACCAAGGCCACAUGUGUCCCAAGGAUGUGCACAUGUCGUCUGCAGCGUCCACUUUAUUCAAAUCACGGGAGGAUAAGGCAGAGCCAGCUCUAAAAAAACAAGAGCGGCACCGCAUCAGGCAGAGCCCCGCGCCAGGGAGAACUCCGCGUGUGCUGCUUCACAGCGUUCACCAGGGACGGGCGAGAGAGCCUCCGCCGCGCUCGUCCUCGUCUUCGUCGGAAGGCCCGCCCGGGGGCAAGGAGCGAGGCGAGGUGCCGUCCACGAGCCCAAGGGCGGCCGGGCUCCAGGANGCUCUCCAAACCUGCGGUGGAGAGCAGCGAGGCGGCGACGACGGACGUAGUUCUGCUGCAGGCGGCGAAGGUUCGUCGGCGUUGAGCGAGGCAUCCUUCUCACCUUUUGCUUCUUGCCUGUCGAUCUCAUCGAUCUCGUCGAAAGCACUCUGGAAGAGCAGUGCUGAUAACGUGUUGUAAGUUGAAUCGAGAGAGAGAUAGCGAGAGAAACAAAUGAAUCAAAUGUCACUUUAUUCCUUGAUGAUUGAACACUUUAUAUGCGAGGGAAAGACGGUUCCUGGAGGCGACGCUCCAGGAACAAUACGUCGGUUCCGCAUCGUGGGGGGAAUUCACGUGCGGUUACAUGUAGAAAUUAAUUUAACUAAUUACAUAAUUAAUUAAAUUCUAACACAGUCUACUUAGCGUUUCAGGCUAUGUAGCAACGCCAAGGCGCAUGGCGUUUCAAUGCAUGCGCUACUGUUCGCAGCAUGCAGGCAGGCAUGCACGCAUGCGCCGCUGUUCGCAGCUACUGUUUGCUACUGGUCACUGCCCCUCUCUGCUCGUUUUUGAGUCUUGCAUGCCAGCUACACUGUGUAUGGAGUCUUGCAUGCGAGCUACACUGUGUAUGGGAGAAAAAAUAAUGCCCAGUAAAGAGGAUCGGAGGGAGUACACUGCAUCCAUGCAUGCAGGCAAUGCAGAGGCAGGCACGCACACACACAUAACUAUGGGAUGUGGCUAUGGUGUGGCGUAGAGUAGCAUGGAUGAUGAGCAGGAGUAAAAUAAACUAUUGUUGCUCCUACUGGCACGGUGACACCGGCACAGUAGCUCAUGCAUGGUUAUUUGCCUCAGAAACGCCAACUCGCAUGGCGUUUCACUGAAGGCCAAAAACGCCACACUAUACAGGCAUUUCUUAAUAGGUCUGCAACGCCACGUUAGAGUGGCGUUUCUUAAUAGGGCUGCAACGUCACGGACUAUGGCGUUUUAAGAAAAUGAUCAAAACGUGAAAUUGUUUUCAAACGAGUUCGUUACGUGAUUAUCGUAGCCCCCUCGGAUCAAAACAGUGAAAAAACCCCAGAUGUUUCAAGCUACUGGCUUCCUUUAAUCCUUUCCAACAUGAUUUUUUAGGAACUUAAAAGCAAACAAUUUAAUUGCAAAUCAAUAUAUAUAUGGAUGGUCUGAGCAUCUACAACCACGGAUCCACCCCUCAAAAGUCCGCGGACGCGUCCGCGGACAUAGACCGGGCGCGUCUUAUUUUUUGCCUUUCACAUCUGCGUCUCUCAUAUUCGAAACCUCAUAUCCAUACAAAUGCAUGCAACGUCACGUAAAACAAGAGAUAACCAUUCUCCAUUGGAUUGGAUUGAUUCGUCGAACAAAAGCAUCAUAGUUCAUCGAACUUCAUCGGCAAAUUAAUACUAGAAACUACUUAAGCAUAAUUAAAAUGUACACAACACGGGGCGCUCACGGUCGAACGUCGCGCGGCCAGCGCCUCCCCCUUUCCCUCUCCCAUUGCCGCUCUAGACGCGCUGCACGCGUCUUGGACUCCGACGUCCUCUCGCGCCCCGUCCCCGACACGGGCACGAGGACCUAGCGUGGCCGGGUACCGCUUUCGAAGCAGAAGGUGGUGGAGGUG
rnacentral:lncRNA from 1 species